GCUUGAAUUCGUAGUCAUAUGCUUGUCUCAAAGAUUAAGCCAUGCAUGUCUAAGUAUAAGCAAUCUAUACCGUGAAACUGCGAAUGGCUCAUUAAAUCAGUUAUCGUUUAUUUGAUAGUACCUUACUACUUGGAUAACCGUGGUAAUUCUAGAGCUAAUACAUGCUAAAAAGCCCCGACUUCGGAAGGGGUGUAUUUAUUAGAUAAAAAACCAAUGCCCUUCGGGGCUCCUUGGUGAUUCAUAAUAACUUAACGAAUCGCAUGGCCUUGUGCCGGCGAUGGUUCAUUCAAAUUUCUGCCCUAUCAACUUUCGAUUGUAAGGUCUUGGCUUACAAUGGUUUCAACGGGUAACGGGGAAUUAGGGUUCUAUUCCGGAGAGGGAGCCUGAGAAACGGCUACCACAUCCAAGGAAGGCAGCAGGCGCGCAAAUUACCCAAUCCCGACACGGGGAGGUAGUGACAAUAAAUACUGAUACAGGGCUCAUUUGGGUCUUGUAAUUGGAAUGAGUACAAUUUAAAUCCCUUAACGAGGAACAAUUGGAGGGCAAGUCUGGUGCCAGCAGCCGCGGUAAUUCCAGCUCCAAUAGCGUAUAUUAAAGUUGUUGCAGUUAAAAAGCUCGUAGUUGAACCUUGGGCCUGGUUGGUCGGUCCGCCUCACCGCGUGCACUGAUCCGACCGGGCCUUUCCUUCUGGGGAGCCGCAUGCCCUUCACUGGGUGUGUCGGGGAACCAGGACUUUUACUUUGAAAAAAUUAGAGUGUUCAAAGCAGGCCUAUGCUCGAAUACAUUAGCAUGGAAUAAUAGAAUAGGACGUGUGGUUCUAUUUUGUUGGUUUCUAGGACCGCCGUAAUGAUUAAUAGGGAUAGUCGGGGGCAUCAGUAUUCAAUUGUCAGAGGUGAAAUUCUUGGAUUUAUUGAAGACUAACUACUGCGAAAGCAUUUGCCAAGGAUGUUUUCAUUAAUCAGUGAACGAAAGUUAGGGGAUCGAAGACGAUCAGAUACCGUCGUAGUCUUAACCAUAAACUAUGCCGACUAGGGAUCGGGCGAUGUUAUCUUUUUGACUCGCUCGGCACCUUACGAGAA
rnacentral:rRNA from 1 species